GGAACUGUGCCUGAAAUAAAGGACCACUUUGAUAGAGUGUAUCAUGAAAGUUAAACUCUUUCCAGCUCCUU
rnacentral:tRNA from 1 species